rnacentral:rRNA from 1 species
GGCAGACGGGUGAGUAACAUGUAGGCAUCUGCCCUUUGGCCUGGAAUAACACGAGGAAACUUGUGCUAAUACCGGAUAAGUCUUUACGGAGAAAGCUUUAUGCACCAUUGGAUGAGCCUGCACUUGAUUAGUUUGUUGGUGGGGUAAUGGCCUACCAAGACUUUGAUCAAUAGCUGAUUUGAGAGGAUGAUCAGCCACAUUGGGACUGAGACACGGCCCAAACUCCUACGGGAGGCAGCAGUGGGGAAUCUUGCACAAUGGAGGAAACUCUGAUGCAGCGAUGCCGCGUGAGUGAAGAAGGCCCUUGGGUUGUAAAGCUCUUUCGUCGGGGAAGAAAAUGACUGUACCCGAAUAAGAAGGUCCGGCUAACUUCGUGCCAGCAGCCGCGGUAAUACGAAGGGACCUAGCGUAGUUCGGAAUUACUGGGCUUAAAGAGUUCGUAGGUGGUUGAAAAAGUUGGUGGUGAAAUCCCAGAGCUUAACUCUGGAACUGCCAUCAAAACUUUUCAGCUAGAGUUUGAUAGAGGAAAGCAGAAUUUCUAGUGUAGAGGUGAAAUUCGUAGAUAUUAGAAAGAAUACCAAUUGCGAAGGCAGCUUUCUGGAUCAUUACUGGCACUGAGGAACGAAAGCAUGGGUAGCGAAGAGGAUU